UACAGAGGUCUCAAGCGUUAUCCGGAAUCACUGGGCGUAAAGCGUGCGUAGGCGGAUGUUUAAGUGUGAUGUUAAAUCGUGUGGCUCAACCAUAUCGAUGCAUCGCAUACUGGGCAUCUAGAGGACGGCAGAGGCAAGUGGAACUCGUAGUGUAGCAGUGAAAUGCGUAGAUAUUACGAAGAACACCAAUGGCGAAGGCAGCUUGCUGGGCCGACCCUGACGCUGAGGUACGAAAGCGUGGGGAGCGAACAGG
rnacentral:rRNA from 1 species